GACACAUUGAUUCCAAAUGUGGACCAAAGGACCCAAUUCAAAAAGAGAUUCCAGCUGUUAAAGGAAGAACAAAGCAGAAAUCCAGGGAUGCAGUGUUGUCCUGCACAAUGUYACAUUAACUCUGGAUCUGAACGGUGUCCAACCCGAGAUGACUCCAGGUCAAUCAGAACCCUGUCGUCAUCAYCACCUGGUCAACCGAGAGAACGUCUCCUCACUGCCCACAAUGUGACAUCUGACCCAGCCAGGUCCAGCUUAAAGUCUUUCAGCAYCGUCACCGUCUCCGCUGGCUUGUUAAACAUCCGCUCACUCACCAACAAAGAGUCUUCCGUUUCCAGACUUCUGAGGGAAAAGCAGUUUGACUUCUUCUGCUUGACAGAGACCUGGCAGAAGAAAAACGAUCUAACACAUUUAAACAGGGCAGCGCCAGAUGGGUAUUCUCACAUCAGCCAACCACGCUCUGAAGGACGAGGAGGCGGUGUCGCAGUGCUCUUCAGAGACAWGUGGCUYGUAUCUUCUGUCAGUGUCCCCACUUACAACUCUUUUGAAUCUAUAGUACUACAAAUCCACUUAUCGGUACCCACCAUUUUAGCCACYAUCUAUCGCCCUCCUGAACCCAACAAGGAGUUUUUAAGCGAUUUCUCUUCUCUUUUAACAUUUUUGUGGUCCUUAUCCCCAAAUAUCAUCGUAGUGGGUGAUUUCAACAUUCACAUGGACAAAUUCAGCAAGACUUUGACACGGGACUUUUAUUAUUUGUUGGACGGUUUUGGAAUGCAGCAAUAUGUUGACUUUUCUACACAYAGCCAAGGUCACAUUCUGGAUCUUGUCUGCUGCUCUGCUUCAACGCUUUCUAGCUGUACAGCAUUAGAAAUGUCCAUCUGUGACCACAAAUUAAUUUCAUUUACUGUCACCUUACCGCUAUCCAGACUCUAGUUUCAUCUUCUUUCAAACGUCAGUAGCUCUGUACUGUCUGGUACAUCUGACAAAAUCACAGCAAUAUGCACCGAUGGUGUGGUUUGACUCUACAACAAUGCAGGAGAAAGACAUUCUGCAGAGCAAAACAUCCCUUCUUCGGCUGGAUGUUAGAUUUUCUCAAUUGUUUUGGUGAAUUUCUUUAAACAGAAUAAAAAUGUUCAUUACUAUUAUUUCUACC